ACGCCACUGCCCAGGUCGACCUCCACUCUCCGGCACCUCAGGAAGCGACCCAGAGACUGUCCCCUCCGCCGGCAUCCUAGAAGGCCAAGAAAGAGCCGAGCUGAGCGCCUCCUUAAAGCUGCGCAGACUGCCCGCAAUCCCUCCCCUCCCCCCCCCCCCCGGAGCUGCAACUGGUAGUCCCCUGCAUCAGCCUUGCCCAGCUUCUCCUUUCCUCCUCAGCUCAACUCCUGCUUGCCCUUCGGGAGACCCACCCUGACCACCCUACAGAGGAGGUGCCCUUACCUGUGCCCGGGUAGGGUGCGGGGUCACAGGCCUGUCAUGUGUGAAUCAAUGUCUUCAGUUACCCUGAAGAAGAGCGUAUCUUGUUGACCUUGGACUUCGGCAUUGAAGGACCCCUCUCCUGAGCUCUCAGCAUCACCUUUGGAGAUGCCUAAUAGAAUGUGAGCAUCGUGUACUCUUCCUUCCAUUGCUUACAGAUGUGGCUGCUGCUUGCACACCGAGAACCAUCCUUAACAUGUAGGAGGCACUGGCCACCACUGGUUAAGGAGUAGCAUAUGUAAGCCUGGCUUAUUCACAGGAGUGACUCAUGCCCUGGGACACAAGGCCUUGUCUAGUGUCACAACCCCUUUAGGCAACUAGAUCCUUGUCUUUGAGUAUAAAUGCUUCAGGAGAAACAGCAAUGAUAACCAACUGCAGACUUGACAAGAAUAAUGAUGCUGUAUGGAUAGGGGAAGUGGCUCAGUUGGACGGUUCUUGCCGUGCAAGCAGGAGAAGCUGAAUUUGGAUCCCAACACCCACAGAAAAGCUAGGCACCACAGUGUACAUGUAUAACCCCUGCACUGGGGCAAGGGGUGAAGCACAGAGAAAGAAGGGUCCCUGGAAUGUGUUGGCCAUGCAGGCAGGCCAAACUGGUAAGCUUCAAGAGCAGUGAGCAUAUUACUUCUCUGUUGCUGUGAACAAAACACCAUAACUUAAAGAAGGAAGAGUUUAUGUAGGGGCUACAGUCCCAGAGGAGGAGAAAUGGUAUCAGAAGACCAAAACAGGAAGCUAAGAAAUCACAUUUUCAACUGUAAACACAAAGUAGAAAGCAAAAAUGUACGGAUGAAGCUAUGAACCCUCAAAACUGUCCCCAAUGACAUAUUUCUUCCAACAAGGCUGUUUUACCCCACUAAACAUCACUACAACCAGGUAUUC
rnacentral:lncRNA from 1 species